UUCACCUAUCCUGUCUGUCCAGAUCAGGGCUUUCACCUAUCCUGUCUGGCCAGAUCAGGGCAGAUAAAGGAGAAUGAUGAGAGGAAGCCAUUUUAAGAUAUUUAGAUGUAAACCCAGACAUACAUUGACGCUAACCAGAUCAAAGUUAAUAAAUUAUUGAUGAGUUAAUAAAUUAUUUUUUCAUGCAGCAACGUAUUAAUGUUUCAUUCUACUUAUCCAUAGUUUCAUCCCAAUUUAUCAGAAUCCCUCUACAGAUUCUUUUAUAGAUUCUCAACUAAAUCAAUAAAUUGUUCCAAAACUAUCCAAAAACAACUAUCCAAAACCAUUGGCCUACCCUUAGCCCUUACCUUAACCCCAUAUCAAUAGUGUUGCAGUUGUUAGUUUAAUAGAUUUAGUAUCUAAGAUUACUAAACUGGUACCUGUGAUGGUAGUUGCCAAAGCAAACCCUAGUGAAUCAUAAAUACUGAGGAAGCAGUACGUCACUAGUAUGGCUGGCUGGAAUUUUCCUGUGAUAGUGUCAAAUUGGGCAGGGCAUUUGGCAAUGGGAUAUUCAGUGAUCUGAGUACACACAGUUUGUUUUCAUGGACAUUGGGAACAACAUAAGGGUAAUACAGUGCCUUCGGAAAGUAUUCACACCCCUUGACUUUUUCCACAUUUUGUUGUGUUACAGCCUGAAUUUAAAAUGGAUUACAUUUACAUGUGUUUGUGACUGGCCUACACACAAUACCCUGUAAUGUCAAAGUGGAAUUAUGUUUUCAAAAUCUUUACAAAUUAAUUUAAAAAAUGGAAAGCUGAAAUGUCUUGUCAUUAAAUAUUCAGACCCUUUUAUUAUGGCAAUCCUUAAUUUCAGGAGGAAAACAGUGACUACCUAAUUUCUGUAACCUACACAGAUUCAAGACCCGGGAGGUUUUCCAAUGCAUUGCAAAGAAGGGCACCUAUUGAAUCAGUGAACAUAAAAGUUAAAUCAUUAGAAACGACAUGGAUGAGACAGCCUGCAGGGAGGAGGUGAGGGCUAUCGGAGUGUGGUGUCAGGAAAAUAACCUCAGACUCAACAUCAACAAAACAAAGGAGAUGAUCGUGGACUUCAGGAAACAGCAGAGGGAGUACCCCCCUAUCCACAUCGACGGGACAGCAGUGGACAAGGUGGAAAGUUUUAAGUUCCUCGGCGUACAUAUCACUGACAAACUGAAAUGGUCCACCCACACAGACAAUGUGGUGAAGAAGGCGCA
ensembl:lncRNA